rnacentral:rRNA from 1 species
CCAAGGCGAAGACGGGUAGCUGGUCUGAGAGGAUGAUCAGCCACACUGGCACUGGAACACGGGCCAGACUCCUACGGGAGGCAGCAGUGAGGAAUAUUGGACAAUGGGCGAAAGCCUGAUCCAGCCAUGCCGCGUGGGUGAAGAAGGCCUUCGGGUUGUAAAGCCCUUUUGUUGGGGAAGAAAUCCUGCUGGCUAAUACCCGGCGGGGAUGACGGUACCCAAAGA